GUGCGAGACCGAUAGCGAACAAGUACCGUGAGGAAAAGAUGAAAAGAACUUUGAAAAGAGAGUUAAAGAGUACCUGAAACUGCUGAAAGGGAACCGAAUCGUAUCCAGUGUCUAUAAUCCAUGGCAUAUUUCAUUGGCGAGUGAGUGCGUGCAGCGUUUUGGAAGUGGUUUUCCGCUCCUGUCGUUGUUGUGCAUUUGCUUGCUGGUGCCCUGUGCUGUGGUGGGACGUCAGAGUCAGUUUGUAUGUUGCGGGAAAUGGUUAUUGGGGAGGUAGGUCACUUCGGUGGCUGUUAUAUCCUGGUAACUAGUCGUCGUGGCUGAGACUGAGGUGCCUACAAUGUGCUUUCGAGUGUGCGGGAUUCUCGUGUGGCUGUUUGCUUUGAUAGCUUGCUAUGUUGGUGAAUAAGUCGUGCGAUUGAGACUUGUAUUAACUUGUUGCUGUUCGGGACUUUG
rnacentral:rRNA from 2 species